AAAUGAAUAGACGGGGAGCCGCACAAGCAGAGGAGGAUGUGGUUUAAUUCGAGGCUAAGCGAAGAACCUUACCAAGGCUUGACAUCCUGGGAAUCUCAGCGAAAGCAGAGAGUGCCUUCGGGAAUCCAGUGACAGGUGCUGCAUGGCCGUCGUCAGCUCGUGUCGUGAGAUGUUGGGUUAAGUCCCGCAACGAGCGCAACCCCUAUCGUUUGUUGAAUUUUCAAACGAGACUGCCCGGGACAACCGGGAGGAAGGUGGGGAUGACGUCUGGUCAGCAUGGCCCUUACGCCUUGGGCUACACACGUCCUACAAUGGCCACUACAACGCGUUGCCAAAUCGCAAGAUGGAGCUAAUCGCAUCAAAAGUGGUCUCAGUUCGGAUUGAGGGCUGAAACUCGCCCUCAUGAAGCCGGAUUUGCUAGUAAUGGUGGAUCAGCCACGCCGCCGUGAAUACGUUCCCGGCUCUUGUACACACCGCCCGU
rnacentral:rRNA from 1 species